UGGCAGGUCAGCAUACUGCCGUGAAUACGUUCCCGGGGCCCUUGUACACACCGCCCGUCACACCAUGAGAGUUGGGAAUACCCGAAGCCUGUGAGCUAACUUUACGAGGCAGCAGUCGAAGGUAGAAUCAAUGAUUGGGGUGAAGUCGUAACAAGGUAGC
rnacentral:rRNA from 1 species